rnacentral:rRNA from 1 species
UACGUAGGCAGCAAGCGUUGUCCGGAAUUAUUGGGCGUAAAGAGCGUGUAGGCGGCCCGAUUAGUCCGCUGUGAAAGUCCAGGGCUCAACCCUGGAAUGCCGGUGGAUACUGCCAAACUAGAGUCCGGAAGAGGCGAGUGGAAUUCCUGGUGUAGCGGUGAAAUGCGCAGAUAUCAGGAGGAACACCGAUGGCGAAGGCAGCUCGCUGGGACGGUACUGACGCUGAGACGCGAAAGCGUGGGGAGCAAACAGG